UACGGGGGGGGCAAGCGUUGUUCGGAAUGACUGGGCGUAAAGGGCUCGUAGGUGGCCAACUAAGUCGGACGUGAAAUCCCUCAGCUUAACUGGGGAACUGCGUCCGAUACUGGAUGGCUUGAGUUUGGGAGAGGGAUGCGGAAUUCCAGGUGUAGCGGUGAAAUGCGUAGAUAUCUGGAGGAACACCGGUGGCGAAGGCGGCGAUCUGGACGAUGACUGACGCUGAGACGCGAAAGCGUGGGGAGCAAACAGG
rnacentral:rRNA from 1 species